rnacentral:rRNA from 1 species
GACGAACGCUGGCGGCGUGCUUAACACAUGCAAGUCGAACGGAAAGGCCCUGCUUUUGUGGGGUGCUCGAGUGGCGAACGGGUGAGUAACACGUGAGUAACCUGCCCUUGACUUUGGGAUAACUUCAGGAAACUGGGCUAAUACCGGAUAGGAGCUCCUGCUGCAUGGUGGGGGUUGGAAAGUUUCGGCGGUUGGGGAUGGACUCGCGGCUUAUCAGCUUGUUGGUGGGGUAGUGGCUUACCAAGGCUUUGACGGGUAGCCGGCCUGAGAGGGUGACCGGCCACAUUGGGACUGAGGUACGGCCCAGACUCCUACGGGAGGCAGCAGUGGGGAAUAUUGCACAAUGGGCGGAAGCCUGAUGCAGCAACGCCGCGUGCGGGAUGACGGCCUUCGGGUUGUAAACCGCUUUCGCCUGUGACGAAGCGUGAGUGACGGUAAUGGGUAAAGAAGCACCGGCUAACUACGUG